rnacentral:lncRNA from 1 species
CCCAGCUCACGGCCCCUCGGCCUCAUCAGCUCCUUUUCCUGGGAAGGACUCCCCAGUUCCCGAAGCAGAGUCUGAUAUGCAGAGCCCCAGUGAAAGAUGACAGGACAGUACCGGAGGGGAGAAGUGGGGGCCCCAAUACUUCUCUUCCCUCCCUCCAGGGCCCCCUGCUCCUGCCACCCUGGCUGGGCUCCCUGAGCUGGGAAAUACACACUGGAGUCUAGCAGGGUGCUCCCCUCCAG